rnacentral:rRNA from 1 species
UAGGGAAUCUUCCACAAUGGACGCGAGUCUGAUGGAGCAACGCCGCGUGAGUGAAGAAGGUUUUCGGAUCGUAAAGCUCUGUUGUUGGUGAAGAAGGAUAGAGGUAGUAACUGGCCUUUAUUUGACGGUAAUCAACCAGAAAGUCACGGCUAACUACGUGCCAGCAGCCGCGGUAAUACGUAGGUGGCAAGCGUUGUCCGGAUUUAUUGGGCGUAAAGCGAGCGCAGGCGGAAGAAUAAGUCUGAUGUGAAAGCCCUCGGCUUAACCGAGGAAUUGCAUCGGAAACUGUUUUUCUUGAGUGCAGAAGAGGAGAGUGGAACUCCAUGUGUAGCGGUGGAAUGCGUAGAUAUAUGGAAGAACACCAGUGGCGAAGGCGGCUCUCUGGUCUGCAACUGACGCUGAGGCUCGAAAAGCAUGGGUAGCGAACAGGAUUAGAUACCCUGGUAGUCCAUGCCGUAAACGAUGAGUGCUAAGUGUUGGGAGGUUUUCCGCCUCUCAGUGCUGCAGCUAACGCAUUAAGCACUCCGCCUGGGGAGUACGACCGCAAGGUUGAAAC